AUUGGACGCUGGCGGCAGGCCUAACACAUGCCAGUCGAGCGGAUGAAGGGAGCUUGCUCCUGGCUUCAGUGGCGGACGGGUGAGUAAUGCCUAGGAAUCUGCCUGGUAGUGGGGGAUAACGUCCGGACACGGGCGCUAAUACCGCAUACGUCCUGAGGGUGAAAGUGGGGGAUCUUCGGACCUCACGCUAUCAGAUGAGCCUAGGUCGGAUUAGCUAGUUGGUAGGGUAAGUGCGUACCAAGGCGACGAUCCGUAACUGGUCUGAGAGGAUGAUCAGUCACACUGGAACUGAGACACGGUCCAGACUCCUACGGGAGGCAGCAGUGGGGAAUAUUGGACAAUGGGCGAAAGCCUGAUCCAGCCAUGCCGCGUGAGUGAAGAAGGUCUUCGGAUUGUAAAGCACUGUUAGUUGGGAGGAAGGGCAGUAAGUGUAUACCUGGCUGUUUUGACGGUACCAACAGAAUAAGCACCGGCUAACUUCGUG
rnacentral:rRNA from 1 species